GUAAGAACGAGAGACAAAACAAGAAAUGAAGAAAUAAAGAAAAAAAGGCCCUUUGCCCUUUUGGCUCUGCAUUUUUUUUUU
rnacentral:ribozyme from 14 species